GGAGUGAGUAAUGCAUAGGAAUCUGCCCGGUAGUGGGGGAUAACCUGGGGAAACCCAGGCUAAUACCGCAUACUGCCCUACGGGGGAAAGCAGGGGAUCUUCGGACCUUGCGCUAUCGGAUGAGCCUAUGUCGGAUUACCUAGUUGGUGAGGUAACGGCUCACCAGGGCUGCGAUCCGUAGCUGGUCUGAUAGGAUGAUCGUCCACAUCUGGACUGAGACACUGCCCGAACUCCUACGGGAGGCAUCAUUGGGGAAUAUUGGACAAUGGGCGAAAGCCUGAUCCAGCCAUGCCGCGUGUGUGAAGAAGGCCUUCUGGUUGUAGAGNACUUUCGGUGAGGAAGAAAGCCUUGAGGUUAAUACCCUCGAGGGAGGACAUCACUCACAGAAGAAGCACCGGCUAACUCCGUGCCAGCAGCCGCGGUAAUACGGAGGGUGCGAGCGUUAAUCGGAAUUACUGGGCGUAAAGCGCGCGUAGGCGGCUUGAUAAGCCGGUUGUGAAAGCCCCGGGCUCAACCUGGGAACGGCAUCCUGAACUGUCAGGCUAGAGUGCAGGAGAGGAAGGUAGAAUUCCCGGUGUAGCGUUGAAAUGCGUACAGAUCGGUGAGGAAUACCACUGGCGAAGGCGGCCUUCUGGACUGACACUGACGCUGAGGUGCUAAAGCUUGGGUA
rnacentral:rRNA from 1 species